UCACUUUUGGGGAGACGUGCCAAGCC
rnacentral:sRNA from 1 species